rnacentral:rRNA from 1 species
UACGGAGGGUGCGAGCGUUAAUCGGAAUUACUGGGCGUAAAGCGCGCGUAGGCGGUUUGAUAAGUCGGGUGUGAAAGCCCCGGGCUUAACCUGGGAAUUGCAUUCGAUACUGUCAGGCUAGAGUAUGGUAGAGGAAAGCGGAAUUCCACAUGUAGCGGUGAAAUGCGUAGAUAUGUGGAGGAACACCAGUGGCGAAGGCGGCUUUCUGGACCAGUACUGACGCUGAGGUGCGAAAGCGUGGGGAGCAAACAGG